AUCUUUGUGCUAGGAGGCAAUGACGCAGGCACUGAGGUUUUAACCAAGGCUCGUCUAUUGCUAUUUGGGAACUACACCCAAAUUCCUCCUUUCUAUAAAGGCUCCUUUUUUGGGUUAAAGACCUGCAAUUCAGUUCAAAUAUUGUUUAGUUCUUUAGCUGA